rnacentral:rRNA from 1 species
UACGGAGGGGGCGAGCGUUAUUCGGAAUUAUUGGGCGUAAAGGGCGCGUAGGUGGCCCGGUCAGUUCGUGGUGAAAGCGCGGGGCUCAACCCUGCGUCGGCCAUGAAUACUGCCGCGGCUGGAGCACUGUAGAGGCAGGCGGAAUUCCGGGUGUAGCGGUGGAAUGCGUAGAGAUCCGGAAGAACACCGGUGGCGAAGGCGGCCUGCUGGGCAGUU